GCCGAAUUAGCUCAAUUGGAAGAGCAAGAAAUUUGUAAUUUCUAGGUUCUCGGUUCAAGCCCGAGGUUCGGCU
rnacentral:tRNA from 1 species